rnacentral:lncRNA from 1 species
CAGACAUUUUUAGUUUUUAUUUUGAGAUGGGCUUACUAAGUUGCCAGGCUGACCUAGAAUUCAUAGUUUGCCUCCCUCAGUCUCCCAUAGUGCCGGGAUUACAGGUAUAAGCCACCACUUUUUUUCUCUCUCAUUUAAUUACAAAAGGAACAAGAAUUUCAAAGCACAGGUAAACCCACAACAUCUCCUCCCCAUCUCCCCGUGUCAAGGGAAUCCGAGUCUCCCAAGUCCCAGCCAUGUCCUGGUGUCUGUCUCGGGACCCUGUACCUGGUCCACCACUGGCAGCCCCCACCCCAGGAGCUGGGCAAUUAGGUGGAGAGCCUGGUGGGUGGAGAGCUCAGGUUCCUGUCCAGCAGUACACCCGCCUACAGGAUGGGUUGCCCAUGGGGCAGUUCCACAGGGGAGUGGCCAUGUCAGAGGGUACGUGAGUGGGAUGCGAUGCCGCACACCUGCAAUCCCAGCACUCUGGGAGGCUGAGAUGACAGGCAUGUGCCGCCAUACGCAACUGGAAUUUUUAUGUUUAAUUCUUGUUUUUCCUAGGGAUUUGCUCUCUCAACAUGUGUCCUUAGAGCAGCUUUGUCCUUGGCCCCCCCGGACCCCUUGUAGGGGCUCCUGGCAGUGAGCCGGUAGAAGGACAGGCUGGGUCUGUGGUUUGUGCCCCAGCUCCCCGGCCCCUCCUGGCAUCCCCCCCCUUCCAUGCUGACAGUGCCCGCAGUGCCAGAUAAAGGAGCUGUCUUCUUGGAGCUGUCAGGCUGAAUCCAGAAUCUCCUCCAUCAGCUCCCCUGGGGGCUCAGGCUCUGAGCACAUCAGAGGGCUGGGGGUGGGGGACACUGGAGCCACUCGGCCACCCACUCCUGCCCGCAGGACUCAGAAGGAGAGGAUCCACCUGCCUUGUGCCUGGCACAGCUCCAGCCUGUCCCCACCACCGACUCAGCAGCUGUUACGGCCCCCAACAGGAACCCCUCUGGCCGGGGCUGGCCCGUUUGGCUCAGGCCGCAGCCUUCAGCGCCCUGCCCCACUGCACCACCUGUCCGGUCAGAUGGGCCCUCGAAGGUUGCACUAUGCACCCCCCCAGC